rnacentral:ncRNA from 2 species
CGUGCCGGCCGGGGGACGGACUGG